GCCACGAUCCACUGAGAU
rnacentral:snRNA from 1 species